AGAUUUGCUUCUUCCUACUCCCUUUUUGGACAUGUGGAACUGUGAAUGGUACAAUGUGAUUUAUUCCAAUGUAACUUCUAUGCAUGUUCAAGGUAAAUUAAACCAUUCCCAUUGCCAUAAAAGAGCACUGAAAAAUAUCAAUCUCAUCACGCUGGUAUCGACGCGAUACCGAUUCUACUCUGGUGUCGAUGUUGGCAUCGAUCCACCCAUCUUGGUGUCGAUGUUGGCAUCGAUCCGCCCAUCUCUCAACUGUCGCCUCUUCAUCUUCCACCGCUGUGAUGCUCGCUCUCGUCCCACAGGCUUUAUUACUAAUGUCUGUGAUGGUGUCACUACGUGGUCAAGACGAUAGCUCAACCGUAGCAGAGAGACCUUACGAUGUCUUACAGAAGCAAAAUUUGGUCACGCUAGGGAGUGUCCUCGGUGUCCUCCUGCUGCUGAUGAUCAUCAUGGCUGUGUGCGUCUACAAGCCUCUGUCCAGGCGGUGAUCGUGUCCUCAGUCGCGGGGACAAAGGCUCAUAAGGAAACUGAAAAGAAAACUGGGAGUUCACUUAACCCUCAGGCCAACGGGCGAUGCAGAAACCGACAAAGGUUGGGGGGCCUCCUAAUGGCCGGAGGCACUACCUUUCGCCCAUUUACUAGGGACACCUUGAUCACAUCUCCUGCAAUAAUCAUGUUUUUGUAUUAUGAGUUCAGACAUUGUAUAUAAUUAAUGCAGUGCAGAUUGACCUCACAUUGUAAAUAGACUGUCUUGAUGUAAAUUAGGUAAGGUUGUGUCUACUGUAUCUAUCAAAAACGUACAGCCAAGUUAGGUCAUCAAAAUAUUAGUUUUACACCACUGCAGACUAUAAGCACAAUAAUAAACACAUUGUUCAAUUAAUUGCUAAUUAUAAUUGAUCAUUACAAAGGCAGAUUUUUUGACAGAACUCUUAUUGGAUCGCAGUGUUUAAUGAAGUGUAUGUAUGCCUGCAUUCUUGUAAAUUAAAUGCAGGAAGUCACCAUCAUAGUGCAUGGAAUUAAAGUGCUUUAAUUUUUAGGAAAAACUGCAGCUCAAAUGGGGUGUUACAUACAGUACAUCGCAGUUAAAUGAACCAAAGUUGGCUUUGUAAAAAUCCCAGUAUUCACCAGUUUGGCAAAAAGAAAAAAAGAUAUGGUUCUAACAAGUGGUUUUUCAUCAGGGAUCACUAAGAUUUGCAGAGUUGUCCGUAAGUAAAAUAACUACCGCGGUUAUUCAGCAUCUGUGUGGAUGCAAUGUCCGCUUGCUUCCUGAUAAUUAAAACUUCACAAAUUUUUAAGUGGCACAGGCUAACUUUCCACCAAGUGACAAACUGUUGGCACAUGCUGAAACAAACAAUCAAGAGGUUUACAGUUGUUUGUGGCUACAGGCGGCUGACAAUAAAUGCAGAUUGCCUUUUGGAACAUAAACAGACUGCAACACUUUGCACAGGAUUGUAUCCCUGCACAGUACUCACUCGAACGGGGAUGGGGUGGAAUCAUAAAACUCAUAUUAAAACAAAAAUCUGAAUAUUCAA